rnacentral:rRNA from 1 species
AUUGAACGCUGGCGGCAUGCCUUACACAUGCAAGUCGAACGGCAGCACGGGAGCAAUCCUGGUGGCGAGUGGCGAACGGGUGAGUAAUAUAUCGGAACGUGCCCAGUCGUGGGGGAUAACGUAGCGAAAGCUACGCUAAUACCGCAUACGAUCUAUGGAUGAAAGCGGGGGAUCGCAAGACCUCGCGCGAUUGGAGCGGCCGAUAUCAGAUUAGGUAGUUGGUGAGGUAAAGGCUCACCAAGCCGACGAUCUGUAGCUGGUCUGAGAGGACGACCAGCCACACUGGGACUGAGACACGGCCCAGACUCCUACGGGAGGCAGCAGUGGGGAAUUUUGGACAAUGGGCGCAAGCCUGAUCCAGCAAUGCCGCGUGCAGGAUGAAGGCCUUCGGGUUGUAAAGCACUUUAAGUUGGGAGGAAGGGUAGUAACCUAAUACGUUGCUACUUUGACGUUACCGACAGAAUAAGCACCGGCUAACUUCGUG